rnacentral:misc_RNA from 1 species
ACUUAACAUUGAUUUAUAUUAAUUGACCUAACCCCUGUACAAACAAUAUAAUGUUAUGCUCUUCAGCCAGAGGUGAAAAACAUUAAUCUUACUACUACAAACAUAGUUCUACAGACAUAAAUUUCCCCAAUUAUCAAAGAAUCUUCAAAUCCCAGUUUUUCUCCAUGUAUAACAUCCUCCGAAUCCCGAGGUGUGCUUGCAUCAGGACCCCAACAAAUAGGCAAAACCCAAAUGGUUUCCUGGGGGACUAUAGCCUAAAACUUCAGUAUAUUCUCAAGGUAAGAACAGCUACCUGGAUUGGUUUUCAUCAUCUUCAACAAUGUUGAAUAGGAACUUUGGAAGGGAUGCAAUACGAGGAAGAUGAAGGAGCAAGUCGCCAAAGGAGUCUAUCCUUGGAAUACUUGGUGUCGGCUUACUACCAACAGAAUCCUUGGUGUUCUCUUUGUUAUUUCCAUCGUUCUCACAUGCAGAAGAGCUACAAGCAUCGUUAGAUUGAACAGGAUUUUGCAGAUGAUUUUCUCCAUUUAACUGGGGCUCGUGAGAUGCGAUAGGAUCCUGCAAGAGGCAGCACAGAGAGUUGACUUUCUUCAUGAGAGAUUUCUCGUCUGAAGCUGGUGUACAUUGAGUGUCGCUGAGCCACAUCUGUGCAAUGUCCUCCAGCAUGCCCUUGCAUUCUAAGGCCUCAUCAGACUGCAAACUUCCAGAAUUAAUCUGUUGUGAAAUGCAGAUUUCAAAGUGGCUCACAAGAUCAGUCAUAGACAUUGAUGGCCGGAGUCCUGGCACCUUCAAUUGCUCCAAGUUUCGCAUCCUGUUAGAAUCAUACCCUAUGCUGUUUGCAUUGUCCCUAACAGCAUGUGUAUCCAUCACUGAGCUUGGAGAA